GUGUGACUUGGGCAAAUUAACCUCUGUUCUUAAAACUGGUCCUUCAUCAUAUGAUUUGGCAAGUGCUGGACUUUACAGGCGUGCCAUGGAAUGCAGUGGUCUUAGCCCAAACCUCAGACCAAGUGAAUUCUGGAGCCACAAGACAGUCAGUACACGAUUCUUCAUUUCCAGAAUCACUCACCAUCUCUGUGGGCACUGCUGGGACUGGGGGGUCCACUACUAACAUCCCCAUGUAUGGAAGUUCCUCAUGGCUGAAAAGUGACCCUUCAACC